rnacentral:lncRNA from 1 species
CAAAAGUUAAAACCCAACUAGUCUAAACCCAAACCCAAAACCCAGCUAAAUUACUCGGUACCCGUUACACCCUGCUUAGCCAGAACUAAAGUGGCCCAAUUGGCCCAAACUAUUACAUUAAGGCAAGGAACCCUAGGGUUUCUGCCUUUUCCUCCUUGAGCUGUCCCUGCUUGUAGAAGAUUCGGGGAGCGUCUGUCCAGCUCCCGAAUCAAGGCCACCAUCGAUCAUGCCCCCAUCAACGUUUCUUCAGUUACGCCGUUUCACCUUGCGUCGUUUCAGCUACCCUUCAUAGGUGCCGUGAUUCCAGGCCCUGUAUCUCGUUGAGACGCAAAUCGACGCCGUGAUCAGUUCCCUUUCUUCUCUUCGAUCGCCUGCAAAAGGAAACAAGAGGGAGUAGAAUCAACAAAUAUAGCAAGGAAAUAAAAUAAAGAUGUAAAUACACUAUAAACAAUGGCUAUAAAGCCCGAAUACCUUCAUUGUAAAAAAGGAUCCCCGAUUUUUUACAAAGACAAUAAUAUACACACGAUUUACGAAGAGAGAAAUAUACAAACAAAUUCAACAGAGCACAGUAGUAUCGACUUACAAUACCAGUAGCCAAUCGAAUACAAAGGUGAAUAUUUUAACAUAUAUUACAAAUGGUAAAAAGGAAAAGAGAUUACCUGACUUUCGCUGAAAAGGGGGAAGGUUUUGACCCUCCGACCACAGUGCGUGGUGGCGCGUGAGCGCGUGAGAGAUCGGAGACUGAAGUUCAACAGAGCGCUGAGAGCCCCUUCCUCAUUCCUCUUUCAGAGGAUUCUUUUUUCUUUUUUUUGUUUAAAAC